CUUAUCACUGGAUUUAAGGCCCACCCAGAUCAUCUAGAAUGCUCUCUUCAUCUCAAAAUCCUUAACGUAAUUUGCAAAGACCCUUUUUCCAACUUGUGAUGUCUCCUCUGACCCGUAAUAGUUCUAAAACUAUGUCAUAGUCUCAGUUUGGCCAAGAGAAGUCGAACACCAGCUCGUGGUUCAUCCAAAGCAAUGUUAUUUUUCAGGAAGCCAAUAAAAGAACUAGAUUCGUUGUCCGUGUUGAGCACUCUCACUUUAGGCAGCUAAAAAUUAAUAACCAGAGGCAGCCACAUAAGAGGCAGCAGAAUGUUCCCGUUACCAGGCAUUAGUUUGGGCUCAAUGUAUUUCUCCGUCUCACGCAGCCCACCUCAGCCUGGCUGUCCCAGGGGGCUCGGACAUCAAUGCCCCCGACGCUUCGGGCCCUUCUCACUCCCCUGACUCCAGGCAGCAGCUUUGAAGUAUGCCACUGCUGCAUGCCCGCUCUUUCCUGCCACACCAGGGACCAACGUC